rnacentral:rRNA from 1 species
GAUGAACGCUGGCGGCGUGCCUAAUACAUGCAAGUCGAGCGAACGGACGAGAAGCUUGCUUCUCUGAUGUUAGCGGCGGACGGGUGAGUAACACGUGGAUAACCUACCUAUAAGACUGGGAUAACUUCGGGAAACCGGAGCUAAUCCCGGAUAAUAUUUUGAACCGCAUGGUUCAAAAGUGAAAGACGGUCUUGCUGUCACUUAUAGAUGGAUCCGCGCUGCAUUAGCUAGUUGUUAAGGUAACGGCUUACCAAGGCAACGAUGCAUAGCCGACCUGACAGGGUGAUCGGCCACACUGGAACUGAGACACGGUCCAGACUCCUACGGGAGGCAGCAGUAGGGAAUCUGCCGCAAUGGGCGAAAGCCUGACGGAGCAACGCCGCGUGAGUGAUGAAGGUCUUCGGAUCGGAAAACUCUGUUAUUAGGGAAGAACAUAUGUGUAAGUAACUGUGCACAUCUUGACGGUACCUAAUCAGAAAGCCACGGCUAACUACGUG